GCGCCCGUAGCUCAGUUGGAUAGAGCGAUAGAUUCCGGUUCUAUGUGUCGGGGGUUCGAAUCCUCUCGGGCGCG
rnacentral:tRNA from 1 species